AGAGUUUUAGGUUAACUUUAAACUAGGAGCCUUCAAAGCUCAUAAUGGGAGUUAAAAUCUUCCAGACUCUG
rnacentral:tRNA from 1 species